rnacentral:rRNA from 1 species
GACGAACGCUGGCGGCGUGCUUAACACAUGCAAGUCGAACGGACAGGCCCUGCUUUUGUGUGGUUCUCGAGUGGCGAACGGGUGAGUAACACGUGAAUAACCUGCCCAUGACUUUGGGAUAACUUCAGGAAACUGGGGCUAAUACCGGAUAGGAGCUCCUGCUGCAUGGUGGGGGUUGGACAUUUUCGGCUGUUGGGGAUGUACUCGCGGCUUAUCAGCUUGUUGGUUGAGUAGUGGCUUACCAAGGCUUUGACGGGUAGCCCGCCUGAGAGUGUGGCCGGCGUCAAUUGGACUGAGGGACGGACCAGACUGGUACGGACGGCAGUGGUCGGGAGCAUUGCCCACUGGUCGGCAGCCUGAGGAAGGAACUCCGGGUGAGGAAUGACGGUCUUCGGGUUGUAAACCGCUUUCGCAUAUGACGAAGCGUGAGUGACGGUAAUGGGUAAAGAAGCACCGGCUAACUACGUG